AUUAAUAGAAGAUGUCUCUGUCAACUCCUUUAAGAAUGUCAUAAAACGUAUGUCCUAAUCCAUUGGUCCUAAUCUAUAGUGUAAUUAAUUGCAUCCAUGUAAAUAGUUUAUGUAAGUGGCCUGUUUUUCUCGCUUUUAGAUUUCCUUUUUUUUCUCUUUUUUUUCUCUCUCCAAUUAUGUAAAUAUUUUAAUGAACUCACGGCCCUUUGAAAAACAGAUGUACUUCUGAAAGGCUACCGUGAUUAAAUAAGAUUAAAUAAUA